rnacentral:rRNA from 1 species
AGCUACCUACGGGACGCAGCAGUGAGGAAUAUUGGUCAAUGGGCGGGAGCCUGAACCAGCCAAGCCGCGUGAGGGAAGAAGGUACAGCGUAUCGUAAACCUCUUUUGUCAGGGAACAAAGGCGGGGACUAGUCCCCGGAUGAGGGUACCUGAAGAAAAAGCAUCGGCUAACUCCGUGCCAGCAGCCGCGGUAAUACGGAGGAUGCGAGCGUUAUCCGGAUUUAUUGGGGUUAAAGGGUGCGCAGGCGGCCUGUUAAGUCAGCGGUAAAAGCCCGGGGGUCAACC